GUGCCAGCCGCCGCGGUAAUACCGGCAGUUCGAGUGAUGGCCGAUUUUAUUGGGCCUAAAGCGUUCGUAGCUGGCCAGUCAAGUCUGUCGGGAAACCUGCUCGCUCAACGAGCAGCCGUCCGGCGGAAACUGAUUGGCUUGGGACCGGAAGGCUCGAAGGGUACGUUCGGGGUAGGAGUGAAAUCCCAUAAUCCCGCACGGACCACCGAUGGCGAAAGCACUUCGAGAAAACGGAUCCGACAGUGAGGGACGAAAGCCAGGGUCUCGAACCGGAUUAGAAACCCUGGUAGUCC
rnacentral:rRNA from 1 species